GGUACCAUGUACAAAACGACAUCACUGACCUGAACGGUUCCUUGAAAGCUAUUCCGGUUUAUUGUGUCAGUGAUCCACAGAUAAUAGGUCUCUGGGGGACUUUUGAACCAGGUUUUUCAAUUCAUAAGGCAGUAAGGAUGCUCUGAAUUGCCAAGUCUAGGCAAGCCUUGGCACAUCUUGAAGCAUAUUUGAAGGGCUUGAAGCAAUGUCUCACAGACUUUUAUUGAACUUGUAACAGAUUUAAAGGAGGAACACUGGGGAAAGGUAGUGAUUCUGGAUUGGAGGAAGGCAUGAGUAGGAGGGAAAUCAUGCAAUGCUCAGCCUGAAUCCUAACUGCAGAAAGACUUUUCAGGCACAGAGGUUCUUCAUUGUAUCUGUAAUUCAAGGAAUCUAUAGGCCUUGAACAGCUUGUGCUCACACAUACCCAACUGGAAGCUGUGAACCUGUGCCAGGAAGAAUGGAAACCAAAAUAAAUGGUUCAAUGACGAAAACCCAAACUGUGCAAAAGUAAUUCACUGGAGAACUACACAGGCUGCACAUGCAUUGGAAACGCACCUGUCUCAUGGUGUUAUGUCUGAUGUUCAAAGAAUUGAUAACCUUCAGCAGAAAAGAAGAGUAGUCGUUAUGUGGUAUGUUACAUCCUGAAUCAAAUUUCAGUGUGAUGCCAGUUAUAUGAGAGCCUAUAGCAGUCAUAGGAAAUGCAAACAAAAAACCUCCCUGAUGAUAAGCCUCUCUUGUCCUUCCUUCCCUAAAAAAAGCCUACAAGGGAUGAGAUAAAUUGUUUAAAAUAUGUGGAACUUACCUAUUGAACCAUAGCAGGAAAAUUACGAUCAACUGCUAUUCAGUGCACUGUUUUAAUGGUGAAAUAUGUUUUGCACUGAGAUUCUUCCCACAGUUUUGUCCCUCUUCAAGAUUUGUUGGGUACUGUGCUGCAAGCACACAUUCAGGUAACAACGUUUGUAAGUGAUCCUCAGGUAGCUAUAGUCAAUGAUGACCACACCUGUAAGCACAGGCAUUUAUGGCUUCAGAAUAAAACAAGUUUAUAUUUGUCUUAGCAAGCACUACCUGUCACA